UACAGAGGUGGCAAGCGUUGUUCGGAAUUACUGGGCGUAAAGGGCGCGUAGGCGGUCAGGUCAGUCCCGUGUGAAAUCCCUCGGCUCAACUGAGGAACUGCACGGGAAACUGCCUGGCUUGAGUUCGGGAGAGGGAAGCGGAAUUCCGGGUGUAGCGGUGAAAUGCGUAGAUAUCCGGAGGAACACCUGUGGCGAAAGCGGCUCACUGGACCACAACUGACGCUGAUGCGCGAAAGCUAGGGGAGCAAACAGG
rnacentral:rRNA from 1 species